AGUGAACUGAAACAUCUAAGUAACUGUUAAAAAAAUCACAAGAAUUACUGAAAGUAAAGGCGAUUAAAAUCAGUAAAGGUCGGACAAACUUCAUAAGACAUGGAGAUCCGUCUUCAAGACCAUAAAGGACAGUAUAGCGAUAGAGUAGAGUAACGUGAGUGAAAGAUAACGAGUUGAGAUCAUAUAAGCAGAUAGAGUCUAAAGAGAUGAUAUCGUACCUUUUGCAUAAUGGCGGGUUUACUAGUUUAAUAUAGCGAGAUUCAAUUGGCUAGAGUCCCACUUAUCAGGAAAAUAAGUUAUAUUAAAAAGACCUAAAACGACGUGAUCUAAAGUUGAUCAGGAUCAUAAUAUCGAUAUGAACGAUUUUCGUUCAUGCGAAUUAAGAGUCUGAACGAGUGGCUGUUACAUUAGCCUUCGAUGAAUUGACUUUAGUAGUGAAAAGCUAAUCGAACGUCGUGAUAGUUGGUUGUCUGCGAAACAUGUUAUAGCAUGAUCUAUCAGGAAGUUUAACUAAUUCUUAUUGUUAAAUAAGAACAAUACGAGUACAGUAAAGAUUCACACAAAAUAAUUCAUGGUUAAACCUUGAAGGUUAAUAGGGCAGAAAUGUACCUAUGUGAGUUAAGCUCAGAAAAGUAAUUGUUUAAUAAGAUAGUUUCAGACGUACGAUGAUAAGGUCGUAUGUCGAGAGGGAAACAGCCCAAAGUGUAAGUUAAGGUUCCGAAUAACAUAAGUAAUAAUAAUAAUUAUAUUUAGAAAAAUAUAAUAAUAUUAUUAUUAUAUUUUUGAGUAGUAAGAAGGUAGUAUAGCACUCCAAAGACAAUCAUGAGAUGUGACUGGAAACAUCCAUUCUUUAAAGAGUACGUAACAGUACAAUGAUCUUGCAAUGAAAAGAAGCAGAGAGGCAUACUCCGAAGAUAUACGGACUUAAAAUGUAAACCGAAACAACACUCAACACUUAUAUUAAAAAUAGAAGAUGAAGGUAGCAGACCGUUCCUGUCUCGAUUAAUUAAAUGUGUUUCAUAUUUAAUGUGUCAGGAAGUGAGAAUGACUCGAUGAGUAACGCAAAAUGUAUAAACAUUCAUCUUAAGUCUAGGAUUUGCUAAGAUUAAAAAUAGAUAAUAUGGUUAUUAACUAUAAAUCAGUAAAAAUGUAGUGUUAAACGGUAUCUAAGCCAAAGCUAAGAGGCGUAAAGGUGAUGAAAGCAUAAUUCAUUAUGUUCGAAAGAAUGGUAAAUAAUGAAUACGUGGAUCUUUUUAAAUUUAAAAAAACUAGUGAGACGUAGGAAAAACAGGAAAAGAGUAGUAAUAUGAAUUAUAUAAGGCUUAUAUCUUAGAUUAUGUCGAAGAUAUAAUGGUUAUAAUAAUAAUAUAUAUAUCGACCGUAUCAUGCAACACAGAUAGACUGAUAUAAAAGUAUCAAGAUGAUAGCUUAAUACAUGUUAAGGAACUCGGCAAACUAACUCUGUAACUUUGAGGAUAAAGAGUAGUCAAUAUAGACUUUAUAAAAAAGCUUGUUCUCUCAUUAUGAGAGGGAGGUGGUAUAAUGAUAAAUUGACUCACAGAUAAUAGUAGGGUGCGACUGUUUAACACAAACACAGAACUCUGCUACGGCGAAAGCCUUAGUAUAGGGUUUGACUCUUGCUCAGUGUCUUAUUUAGAAUAAAAGAGAUAAUGUGUUUAACCGCUAGUAGCUUUUAAUAAAUAAUAAGAUCAACAGCAGUCUUAACUAUAAGGAUUCAAAGGUAGCGAAAUUCCUUGGCCAUUAAAUGUGGUCCUGCAUCAAUAGAGUAACGAUGCUCUAGCUGUCUUAACAUG
rnacentral:rRNA from 1 species